UCAGGUUUUAAAUUUUAAUAUGCUUAAAUUUGAGAUGCUGUAAAGCAGAGCACUUUCACUGUGAGAACUCAGCCUCCACGUGUCAAUCUGUAGUGCUAUGCUCAGAGAUUAUUUUAGCGUUAAAGCCUUAUUAUGAAACAUCAACCUCUGCCUCCCCAGCCCACUCCCAAAGCCAGGAAAUACUUCUAAUACCAAGAUGUUUCGUGCUUUUAAUAGUGUAAAGUAAAAAUAACCCUAUAGUACAUCAGUGCAAUGAAACUGAAGUCAGCAAUCUGUCGUUUCUAUCCUUACUAACAUGCAACUGUCAGUUUUAAUACGUUGGAAAGGAUCUGUAUGUACAUGUAUGUAAAAGAUGUGAAAAUAGAAAGGCAUUUAUUGAAAGCAGACAAAAUCAGGAAGAUGAUAAAAUAGUAAGAGGAAGUGGCCUCAGAUAUAAAAACUUGCUUUGGAUAGCAGAAUUUACCACUAAGAGCCAAGGCUGGCAAGUUGCCAUGCUUUAGAUAAAAUGAGCUGUGUAAUGUAAAGAAGCGUUCAACUCCGUGUUCAAAUACACUGAAUGCAUUUGCAAAGCUCACGUUGUAGAAACUUUUUAAGUUUCUUUAAUUUGCUUUUUGCUUUGUUUUUUCUUUUUUUUUCUAUGUGUGUCUUUAAAAGCUUGAUUACGUAUUCAGAUACCAGAAAUGUCAGCUGUACAGAGCUGGAUCUCUAAGAAUAUCUGGGUCAGGUGUAGCAAUUGGCAGGAUAUAACAAACUGCCAAACUACCACAUCAAGCAAACGUAUAUUUUGGAAGGAGAUUUUUUGUUACAGUCAGAGCUAAUGAAGAAUGUUCGUUAUUAAGAUGAUUCCUAUGUUUAAAUACCUUCUACACAAUCUUAACCCACAGAGCUACUCAAGUAGAUUGUGUGCUGCUAAGCACUUUCGAACUGGAUAAACAAUGCUUUUUCAUGCAGAAUAUCUUCUCCAUUUCCUGAUAUGUUUGCGGAGAAAAGACCCACAGCUGUAGGAAAUAAAAGGACACACAUACUUGAAAGACUUCUCGCAUAAAUGUUUUUGAAACCUGCUGAAAACACUGCAGAAACCCAAGAAUCAGUUACUGUACCGGCUGGGAAUAAAAGCUUUUUCUUCUACAUGGGUAUGUUCUCCUCUGUGUCUUGGCAAGGCCUGCUUUCUGAGCUUCCUGCUAGAAGAGAAGUCAUUUCAGUAGAUGAUGGAUAAUGAGCCCGGCUCAGUUCUCAUGACUAACAAAAUCAUGCCCGUGCUCUCUGUUCCCAACUGUAAGGUUUUUCCAGAGCUCAGCAAGUAGGGAGGACACCAAACCUGAAAAACUGGCCAGCAGGUAACUACAGCUAAAAUAAUGAAGUACCAUCUUGAAAUUAUUGUAAAGGUGACAAAAUUGGCUUUAUCAGAUUAUGAAACUGCAGAUAACGGUGGAUAAAUGCAGAUCACAGAAUUAGAGGCAUCUUGGUUGUAUAAUGAGCAAAAGACUCGCAAGUGAGUCUACAAAGCCAGCAUGGACGUCCUGCCUUGUUUUCAGCCUGGUUUUGGACAGAGACAUGGCCACGCACGGUAUUCCAAAUUCAAUACAACUCUCAGCUACUAAAUGCUGACGUUUUCAAAAUAAUAUACUUAUUUUAGUUGUGUUUAUUUGAUAGGAACAUGGUAUUUGGAAAAUACACAGUGAAUUUGAACAUAAUAUGGUCUUCAUUUGAGCAGCGGGGAAGGUGCACACUGAUGCUACUGUUAGUAGGCCUGGGCUAUUCAUCUAGCCUAUGUUUAAGGACGUCCCCAUAAAACACAAGUCCUGACCUGGGUUCACAUAAGGAGAUCCUUAUGCUUACGGAGCUCUGAUUAAGUCAACAAGGCUAGACAUCGGUACUGAUCCUGUGUGAUUGGAUUAUGGGAUUGAAGCUGUCAUUUGUCCUACUAAACCAACCUAAGUUACUUAAACAGAUAAAUCUAGUUAUCAGAUUUUGUUUCUUAGCAAUAACACUUUCCAAAACGCAAAACAAGCAAACAAAAAGCCCACCCCCUUGCUUUCCUCACGUUUUUACUGGACUGCUUCACCUUUUAGAUUGCAUUAUCACAGAGCGUAUAUAGGACUGCAAAGAUAACAGAAAGAACAACUCCAAGUGCAAAAGUAAUAAAGGUGUUAUUUCCUUUUCCCAUAAAACUGAUAUAAAAUACGUCUCUUUAAUUCCUUCUGAUCCUGCUUAAGCCCACCCCACCACGGGCCCUGUGCUGUUUGACAGAGAUCCUUCUGUAAAGGCAGAUCAGUUUGUAACCGCGUUAUCCCAUGCUGUAAUUCACUCCUCAUCCUGUAUUUCUGGCAAAAUGACUUAACAAAAUUAAACCAGUAACGUGUUC
rnacentral:lncRNA from 7 species